rnacentral:rRNA from 3 species
UACGUAGGGUGCGAGCGUUAAUCGGAAUUACUGGGCGUAAAGCGUGCGUAGGCGGUUCGUUAAGUGCGUCGUGAAAGCCCCGGGCUCAACCUGGGAAUGGCGAUGGAAACUGGCGGGCUGGAGUAUGGCAGAGGGGGGUGGAAUUCCGCGUGUAGCAGUGAAAUGCGUAGAGAUGCGGAGGAACACCGAUGGCGAAGGCAGCCCCCUGGGCCAAUACUGACGCUCAGGCACGAAAGCGUGGGGAGCAAACAGG